CUGAAAUCAAGGGUCGGACGCUUAACCGACUGAGCCACCCAGGUGCUCCAGGCAGACUUUAAUUUAAAGAAUAACAAUGUGGUUUGGGAAAUUAUCCCAAAUGGAUAUUUCAACAAUGACAAGAAGGCAGCCACCAGGGGGUUUGGGGAAGUUCAUGGUUGGGGUGGGAGGGCUGACGAGUGUACCUCCUGAGAUUUACUGAACUGCCUUCAGUAAAGUGGAACUGGGGGGCGGAAUCCAAUUUCGGAAGCUUCAUUUUGGACCGAGAUUUAGAAGGUGUAACAGCUGAGCCAGUUCCGUGGAGAAAAAUCUGUGCUGAACUUGCAUCUGGUUUUGCUCCUUCGAGCCCCAGAGCACAGAAGGAAAAUGCCCAAGACCGACGGCAGUGAGGAGCAAGGUUCUUGCUGGCUCCCAAACCCAGAAAACUGCAGGGACACUGGCCACCUAGGGUCGUGGAUCCUUAGCUCUCGGGGACACCCACCAGAACCCAUCGGUGGAAGGAUCUCAGAACACAGAGGAGGGAAUAGAGAUCCAGCACUCCUCUGCUCCCUUGGAGACGGAAGGCAGAUGGAAUUAACGGGUGACCUAUGAUCCCGUGAGGGACAUUACCACUCUCUGUUCUGUCUCGGUUGGGGUCUAAGGCAGACCCAGCCCCGACACCCUGAUGCCUUUGGGGUCUCCCAUAUAGUUUAUCCAGACAAGGACUUGGAGCUCGGGAGCCUUUUAGGGAACAAAGUUUAGCUUCCUCUUCACCUCACCCACCCCAGGUUGGAAAGGAAAACCACAUCUCCAAGCACGAGGCACCUCCUUCCAGCAGGAGGCUUAGCCAUCCUACCGUGUGCCACUGCUUCGAAGGGAACCAUUUUCUGACAUGUCACGGCCAGGAGUUGGCAGUUACCCACUUUCAGGCGCAGCGACGGUGUCCCCACCUGCAGGGAUGGUGAGCGCAUCCGAUCCCGGGGCUCUGAUCAGGUGAGAAGUCCAAUGAAACCCAAACUUGUCCUCUGGACAAGGCUGCUCCGUGAAAUAGAGCUGCCCCUCAGUGAGUCUGGCUGUCUCUCCGGGCCCCUUGCCAAGCCUCAGAAGCACCUUAACCGGAAGCCCUGCUGAUGCAAAGCACCGCCUUCUGUUCUGGGCAAGCCGUGGCCAGGAAAAGUCAGCUUGCAGGGACCACGCCUAAACGAAGGAGCCAAAGAUACACCCAAAAUCGAAGCCACAUCCCGUGUUCCCCAAAGAUGAUGGCUUUUCUGUUCCCCGCAGCUCAUUACGAGGGCCCCUCACCGGACAAUGGAUCUCUCUGGGCCACCCAGCCACGCAGGGGAUAAGACAGCUUCUGAAAUACAGAAUAUUUUUGGAGCUCUGAUCCCGACUCCCACAUCCGCAGCCCCUUUUGGACUAGACAGCCUCCUCCUCGGAUUCUCGGUGGCUCAUCACAUCCCGCCGUCUGUGACCAGAAACGGGCCGGGGGAACGAGUAGACAAGAAGGCCGUCGCCGACCAGGCCCACGGCUUCCCAGAGGGAAAGCGGUUGGAGGCACAGCGCUUUGCGUGUCAGCCGUCGCAGAGCAGGGGCUGAGGCAGGCGACGGAGGAAGGCAGGAGGUGAAGCUGGCAUCAGAGCCUUCCCUGGCGGAGCGAUUCCCGAAGACGCUGCUGAUGAACUGCAGCCUGUCUGGGAGCCCCCCGCCCCGGGCCCCCCGCCCCCUCCUCUUCUGUGCAGAGAAAGGUAGCUGGGGAGCUGUUGCGUGGCUGGGGUGCCGUCUGCCCUGACCCCUAUCGUUUCGCCUCUUGGCUUGGGUCCCAGGCCCCACGAUGGGCCGGCGGCCGGCUAAGGCCACAGAUGAGCCGAGUAGCCACACGGUAUGGCUUGGGAGCAUUUCAGCAUGGCGGGAAGGGAGCGUGCUUUGCAGGCAAAUGGCCCCAGCGUCCUGGCCCAGCCUUCUCUCCUUUGAAAUCCAACUGCAUUCUGGCACUUUGCAUUACUUAGGGUAACACGGGCAGCAGUAACAAAGAACCCCUCCGAUGUCACAGCCUUAGCACUGAUAUUUACGUCCAGUUCAGGACAGUGGGUGACCGUCCUCAGGUGGCGAUUCAGGAGCCCAGGCUCGCCGACCCCUAGGGCCUUGGAGAUCUCCACGCGGAGGGUGAGAGAAAGCACAGGUUACAUUAGCCUCAAACGACACACCUCACUUCUACUCACCUUUCAUUGUCGGGAGGAUGGGGAAACGUAAUCCGAGGGAGAACUUCGUGCUGUGGCCUGGAGGGUGCCAGUGUCGCUGUCACAAUAAUGGGGUAAACUUUCAAAGCUUCGAUUUCCUCGCCUGUAAACAGAGACGUGGGACCAACAGCCGAGAGUUACCAGGAAGACGAGAGCUGAUGUCCACGAUGCGACUCAGCCAGUGCCUGACGUGGACCGGGGGCUGUGAUUACAGCCAGAGGGACAGGGGCUGUCUCAUCAGCUGGAGCCGGGGCGAUCCAAGCUCAUGCCCACGUGCCCAUCCCGUGCUUCUGCAGAAAGAGGUUUCUUACGUGAGACUGUUAUGCAACGUGCGUGCGGGAUCGUGGUUAAUAUGGGAAUGCUGGUCUCCGUCAUGAAGAUUAUUAGGUAACGUGCAUUACGUACUGUGAUUAUUUUGUAAAUGCAAGUGAACCGCUCACUCUACCGAACGUCCCAUGGACUAAAAUUCCGGGGACAUCGAUGCAAGCUUUGGACUAUUUUCCCAUUGUUUGCUAUCUUGGAAAAGGCCUUUGUUAUCAAAGCGGUAGAGAUCAUUGCAAAAAUUGCCAACACACAGAUGGCUCUAAAGUGGAACUUAAAAGCCUUCUCCCCACACUCGGUGCCCCCUCUCUUACCGUUGUUGGAUAAGCAACUAUCGUUAACGCUUUCGGUACAUCCUUCCAGAAACACUCUACGUUUAUACACAAGCAUAUUUAAGUCCUCUCCUUUGGCACAAAAGCGAAUCAUGCUAACGUGUUAUUCCGCGACUCCUUUUUCUUUUUCUCUGCUUCCGCAUCUGCUCUAACUCAAUAGUAUUCCAUCGUGGAAUAAGCCACAGUUUCUUUAACCAGAGAUGAGAGGUUUAGUGAGAAGUAAAAAGGCAUCAAACCCCUCUUUUCUCCGUGUGAGUUGAUGGCUAACUCCCCAAGCUGACCUCCCCACCAGAUUCCAGGUGUCCUCUGAAAUCACAGUCCCAUCCGGGUGCCCCCAGGGUCCACGUGCCCCCUACCAGGGCAUCCCCUCAACACCCCAGGAUGUGAAUGGCUGUGGUCCAGAAAACGAGGAUAAGGGCCUGGGGGUGGAGUAAGCUGUCAGAAGUCUUCAGGAACUCCUUCCUUGUGCCCACAGCCUCUAGCUGGCUCAAAAAGGUAAAACUCUCUUUCUUGUCCCCUCCGGGGCGUGGGGUACGCUUGGUUCAACUUCAGAGAUCUGGGCCCAGAGACUGGUGAUCCCAAAAGGAAUCCUAUACUGUCGCUCAGGUCAUUUGGAUGAAGACUUCUUCAUGGUAGGGAGAAAACCCAAGUGGUCCUUGCAACUUUGAGGGUUUUCACUGGGCAUUUGGAGAUCUCGCUGGUUCUGUGUUCGGCAAGGCUGUGAAAAUGAUUCUGUGCACACAUCACUUGUCCAAGCCAUGGGAACCCAACCGGCUUCGGCCCUAGAAGAGUGUUUUCCAGUUUUCAAACGUUCGUGGGCCACCUUCUGAUUUCCUUUUUUCCAUCUCUGCAGACGGCAAAGCCUUGGAGUCACAGGUUGGGUGUGUUUAUAUUCUUUGGAAUAAACACAUCACAAUAAAUAAACUCCUUUAAAAAAAAAAAAAGCAUGAUCGU